rnacentral:rRNA from 1 species
GACGUAGGAGGCGAGCGUUGUCCGGAUUCAUUGGGCGUAAAGAGCGCGCAGGCGGCUUGGUAAGUCGGAUGUGAAAACCCGAGGCUCAACCUCGGGCGUGCAUCCGAAACUGCUCGGCUAGAGGUAGGUAGGGGAGAUCGGAAUUCCUGGUGUAGUGGUGGAAUGCGUAGAUAUCGGGAGGAACACCAGUGGCGAAGGCGGUUGCCUGGGGCUUUGCUGACGCUGAGGCGCGAAAGCGUGGGGAGCGAUCCGG